GCCGGUGUAGCUCAAAGGCAGAGCAGUGGUAUCGUAAACCGAAGGCUGCAGGUUCAAGUCCUGUCACCGGCU
rnacentral:tRNA from 1 species